GACGAACGCUGGCGGCGUGCUUAACACAUGCAAGUCGAACGGAAAGGCCCUGCUUUUGUGGUGUGCUCGAGUGGCGAACGGGUGAGUAACACGUGAGUAACCUGCCCUUGACUUUGGGAUAACUUCAGGAAACUGGGGCUAAUACCGGAUAGGAUCUCCUGCUGCAUGGUGGGGGUUGGAAAGUUUCGGCGGUUGGGGAUGGACUCGCGGCUUAUCAGCUUGUUGGUUGGGUAGUGGCUUACCAAGGCUUUGACGGGUAGCCGGCCUGAGAGGGUGACCGGCGACAAUGGGACUGAGAUAAGGCCCAGACUCCUACGGGAGGCAGCAGUGGGGAAUAUUGCACAAUGGGAGGAAGCCUGAUGAAGCAACGCCGCGUGCGGGAUGACGGCCUUCGGGUUGUAAACCGCAGUCGCCUGUGACGAAGCGUGAGUGACGGUAAUGGGUAAAGAAGCACCGGCUAACUACGUG
rnacentral:rRNA from 1 species